UGGGGAAUAUUGCACAAUGGGCGAAAGCCUGAUGCAGCGACGCCGCGUGAGGGAUGACGGCCUUCGGGUUGUAAACCUCUUUCAGUAGGGAAGAAGCGAAAGUGACGGUACCUGCAGAAGAAGCGCCGGCUAACUACGUGCCAGCAGCCGCGGUAAUACGUAGGGCGCAAGCGUUAUCCGGAAUUAUUGGGCGUAAAGAGCUCGUAGGCGGUUUGUCGCGUCUGCCGUGAAAGUCCGGGGCUCAACUCCGGAUCUGCGGUGGGUACGGGCAGACUAGAGUGAUGUAGGGGAGACUGGAAUUCCUGGUGUAGCGGUGAAAUGCGCAGAUAUCAGGAGGAACACCGAUGGCGAAGGCAGGUCUCUGGGCAUUAACUGACGCUGAGGAGCGAAAGCAUGGGGAGCGGAACAGGAUUAGAUACCCUGGUAGUCCAUGCCGUAAACGUUGGGCACUAGGUGUGGGGGACAUUCCACGUUUUCCGCGCCGUAGCUAACG
rnacentral:rRNA from 1 species